ensembl:lncRNA uncharacterized LOC107559163
GUAAUUAUUCAUGAGGUUAAUGAAUAUUCAUGAAGUGGGUGGGCCUUGAAGUCACGUGAUUCGGUCGCAAUCGUGAACCGCUGCCAGUGAAGUUUUUUUCCCCCCGUUACUUCUACUUUUAUAAUGUGAAGUUUCACUUAGAACAACGCUAUUCGAUCUCUACGAGCCAAAGGUGGUCUACAUCCACAGAGACAUCGUGGAUGCAGAGUCCACAAUCAGAGUCCACAAUGUCCAAGCUUGCUUCUUGUAACUCUCAGCUGCUGUUGUCGGAUCAGAAGUGUGCUAAAUGUCUGUUAGAGACGUAUGUCAAGCGGAGCCUCAGCCUGAAUGAAGGAUGCAGGAAACAUCAGCUAAAUAAACUCAAAUGGCUUAAAACGGGAAGGCAGUUCAGACGGGCAUCCAGUGACACCUCCACCCACCGUUUGUCAGUAGAGAGGCUCCUGAAGACCAGCGAGUGCCCUGAGUGCACAACACAAGAACUUGUCACUAGGAGUAAGAUCCUCAAAGCACCAAGCAGAACCAAAUCAUUCUACAGAGGCUUUCUCCGCCUCUUCUCUAAGAAGAAGACUGAGCCCAAAGUGAAAGAUGAACGAGUCACAGAAACAGACUCUGGACAAUAUACAGUAGAGCGGGGGCUUCGCUCUUCUCAUAAAGGCUCACCUGGCCUCAGUGAGACUGUGAGGAAAAAACACUCUCUGAGAAGUGUCGUCUUUAGCAAUCAAAAUGAUGAGAAAAGAGAAGCAUUACAAAAGGACUCCUGUCUUGUUCCUGAUGGCGUGGAGGGGCUUUCAGACGUGAGCGUGGACUCUGAUAAUACAUACUUUGAGAAGGUGUCAGAAGAACUGGAGUUGAUUGUGAAGGAGAUUCAGUUCAGUCCAAAAGAAGAUUGUGCUCCGCUGUCCUCUGCUGCUUCUGUAGGAGACUGCAGCUCUUCAGGUGAUGACACUACAGAGAGGAUUAUCAGCCUGCUGAAGCAACAUGGGGAUAUUAUUGAUCAGAAAAUAAGCAGGAACAAGAGUGUCCAAGACUUCCUCCAGAAACUGUCUUACAGCUCCUUCCAGCAGCUCGCUGAUCGCUACAUAGCCCAGAUCCCCAGUCCCCUUCCCCAGACCACAGACGCCUCUCCUGAGCUGGUCCGACUCGCCUUCACCUUGGACUUUACUGCCAAAGUGGCUGGAUUGUGCAGCCAGACGGUCAGUCGAAUCAUGGGGUUUGGUAACCAGUACCUUCAGGAUUCCUUCACACAAAUGUGUGCAGCCCACAGACAGGUGCCUGAAGAUUUGGAAGAACAGAGUACAAGUGAUACAGACUGACUGUGAAGUCAAAAACUACAAAAAAAAAAAAAAGUGCAAUAGAGUUAACUCAGGGGAGAAAAACUGUGAUAUAUUUGUAGCUGCUUUUGUGAAUAAGCCAAAUUUAGUAGUUUGUUUAUACUGUAAGCUUUAUACAGUGACCAACUGUAAUAAUUACAACAGGGUUGAACCUGAUACUAAAACUGUGAAUAAGAAAUGUUUUUUGAACACCAAAUUAGCAUAUUCUAAUGAUUUCUGAAUGAUAAUGUGACAUUGAAGACUGGAGUAAUGACUGCUUAUUUUAAAUUAUAAUUGAGCUAUUUUAAAAUGCAUUAAAAUAGAAAAACGUUGUUAAAUUGUAAGAACAUUUCAAAAUAUUACUGUUUUUACUGUAUUGCUCAUCAAAUAAAUGCAGCCUUGGUAAAUAUAAGAGACUUCUUAUAAAAACAUUUUAUAAAUAUCAUACCGGCCCCCAAACUUCUGAUCCGUAGUGUACAUUGGAGAUAUUUUGGAGAUAAAUGUGUGACAUUGAGGCUAAACCAUGGAAAACUGGACGUUUAUCGGGGUCUCAUGCUGUGUGUAACCUCAUUUCAGAUAUUUACGCUAAACAACAUUACACUUGGGUAUAAAAUGUAAGAUAUAGAUCACAACUAUCAUGUGUUAUUUGGCUAGAUCAGUUUGAGCAUCUGUUUUCAUAUAAUGGCAUUUAUAAAAGGUAAUUUGUCAUGGUUUUUAACUGAGGAGGUUGCGUCAGUAAAUGUUGGUUCUGAUGCUGGCAGAUGCAUCAUGCGACUGCAUGAUUGAGGCCCAUGUUUAGAUAUGCUCUGUUUUGUGCCAUUGUGCUAAAAUCAUUUAGUAAAACCACAUUUGGAGUUAAUGUCUUUAUAAAUGGUUGCCAUGAAAUAAUGGCAGCAUUUGUUAGUGGAUGUGAAUGGCAGCAGUGGCGUCUGGAAUGGUAUUAGCCACCCUUGACAUUUCAGUGCAUCCUGUAUAAACACAUUCUGCAUUGAGCGCCAUUGCUAAUCGAUCUCAACUGAUUCCUGGAGUCAGAAGUCAGAGUUUGAUGGAAGUCCUGUGAUCUAACCACUUAAUUAAUAGUCAGCUGUGGCCAUACAACACCGGUGUCCUAUAUAUUCUGAACUGAUUAAAAAUCUGCUUUUAAAUGAAACCAAAAUAAAAUAAAUGCAAAGGCAUAUAUAUACGUUAUAUAUAUAUAUAUAACUGGUCAGAAAUGUUCUUUGGCACAAAUCAUUAUGAUUUAAAUUUAAAGCUUUCAUUCCUUU